GGUGACCUGCAACUGCUUCAGCAUCAGUGAUGGAGAGCUGCAGGACGUGGGGGUGGGACUUUACCUCAGCAUGUCUCUGCUGAACCAAGACUGCCAGCCCAACUGUGUCAUGAUCUUUGAGGGCAAGAGACUCACGCUGCGAGCUGUUCGGCUCAUCAGACCCUGUGAGGAGCUCACUAUAAGCUACACUGAUAUCCUUGCGACCAGCAAAGAGUGACGUUCCCAUUUACAGGAGCAAUACCACUUCCUGUGUCAGUGCACGCGCUGUACCACGGAGG